rnacentral:lncRNA from 1 species
CUCAGACAACAAUUAUUAGACUAUGGACCUAAGAAUUGACCAUAAUCUUUGGAUGACAAAUAAAAUUGAAGACUGCCCUUCAUUCGGAAUUUAUGACAUUAUAUUGUGUUUCAUAUUUUACAGCUUGGGUAGAUAUCCUCAGAACUGUACAACUAAAAUGAACAAUAAGAAAACAUGAAUUAUCAGAAAUCGACUAAGAUCGAUUCAAUCCUCAGACGAAACAAAACCAUCCAAAUCUGCAAUAUUAGAACAAAACAUUCCCAUAAAUCACUACUGCAACCUUAAAAAAUUAAAAAAGAAAAAUAAUUAUCUACGAAUGCCCGCAAGUAAACUUAUAUUCUCCAACAAUACUUCCCAUACGUCCAGCAAAUUCAAAUGGCUGCAGGAUUGUGUAACGGAACUGCAAGAACAUACAACACUAUGUAAAGAAACAAAAGAAAGCCAACAAUGGGAGGGGGAAGAUAUUCUAAAAGAAUGAGGUAAGAACUGCUUCUGAGGAUAGGUAUAAUUCCGAAAAUCAGGCUCAGGACAAGACUCAAGGUAAGAUACUACAAGAACAUCAAAACUAAGAACUAUAAUCAUUUCUAAAAAUGCAUUUGUAUAUUAAAAAAAAAAUAU